UGGGGAAUAUUGCACAAUGGGCGCAAGCCUGAUGCAGCCAUGCUGCGUGUGUGAAGAAGGCCUUCGGGUUGUAAAGCACUUUCAGCGGGGAGGAAGGCGGUGAGGUUAAUAACCUCAUCGAUUGACGUUACCCGCAGAAGAAGCACCGGCUAACUCCGUGCCAGCAGCCGCGGUAAUACGGAGGGUGCAAGCGUUAAUCGGAAUUACUGGGCGUAAAGCGCACGCAGGCGGUUGAUUGAGUCAGAUGUGAAAUCCCCGGGCUUAACCCGGGAAUUGCAUCUGAUACUGGUCAGCUAGAGUCUUGUAGAGGGGGGUAGAAUUCCAUGUGUAGCGGUGAAAUGCGUAGAGAUCUGGAGGAAUACCGGUGGCGAAGGCGGCCCCCUGGACGAAGACUGACGCUCAGGUGCGAAAGCGUGGGGAGCAAACAGG
rnacentral:rRNA from 1 species